UGUAUUUUUAGUAGAGACGGGGUUUCACCGUGUUAGCCAGGAUGGUCUCGAUCUCCUGACCUCCUGAUCCUCCCGUCUCGGACAUGUUACUUUUAUGGGCAGUAAACAGCACUACAAAGUUGUUUCAGGAAAGUCUGGCUGUGAAACUGGCAGGAAAGGAGAGACUGGCUGGGUGAAGAAACCGGGUUGAACAAUGUUUUGUUUUUUUCGGAUGGGAGGUAUCUGAACAUGACUAAAUCCGGAUGGACAGAGUUGAUAGAGAGGAAGAAUUGGAAAAAGAGCAGAGGGCAUCUGGAGAAAGAAGAAGAGGACACAGUGUCCUGAGGGGGAGGUGAGACAGGAGGACACAGUGUCCAGAGUGGGAGGUGAGAGACACAGUGUCCUGAGGGGGAGGGAGAGAGGAAGACACAGUGUCCUGAGGGGGAGAUGAGAGAGAGAGGAAGACACAGUGUCCUGAGGGGGAGGUGAGAGAGGAAGACACAGUAUACUGAGGGGGAAGGUGACAGAGGAGGACACAGUGUCCAGAGUGGGGAGAUGACAGAGGGGGACACAGUGUCCGGAGGGGGGAGAUUAGACUCAGGAAGGGACAGACAAGCUUGUAGGUGUGAUGAGAAAUCAAUUGAGGGAAUUCUCAUCAGUGGGCUCCCUUUUCCUGGAAAGAGGAAGUUAAAUCAUCUGCUGAGAGGAAGGAAGGAAUGAUGAGAGACUGACAAGCAUCAAGGCGUGAACCAGUCACCGUGGAAAUGGAGGAGAAAGCUGACAGGAAUCUGCUGGUCUGCACGUGUGUAACUUCUCCAUCAGCCUCAGCAGCUGGGGCUGGGGUCAGAAGCAACAGAUGCAUGAGCUGAUCUGGGACCAAGAUUCCUCCAGGUGGGUGUGACAGAAGAAGCUCAGAAAAAGAACUAAAAAAACUGAUCAGAUGAUCCUCACUUCUGUAUAUAAAGUUAAGUCUUCUCUGAUCACCACCACGAGCAAGUCAGCUAUUAGUAAAGCUGUGUUACACUCCGCGCUUCCCAAGGGUCCUGGCCAUGCCGCCUACCUAUGUGUCUGAGGAACAAGCAGUCAGUCAGUAGACUGGAAAGGUUUACGUUGUAUCUGUCUUAAAAAUGUCGUACCUGCUCUUGAGCGUCUACUUCACUAAAAUCGCCGUUUAAGUUGUUCUCAGAUAUCAGUUCUUCCCAGGUGAACAGCAGUGAAUCUGUGACUUCGCCAAAUGGAUUAAAAUCAAUGAGCCACACCUUCCCCUGUAGCACAGAGAGAGAAAAAACAAAAACACAGUCUGUACUCUGUCUCCUGAGAAAGAAAUGCUUUUUUAUUCUGAGACAGGGUCUCAUGCUGUUGCCCAGGCUGCAGCGCACUGGUGUGAUCACGGCUCACUGCAGCCUCGACCUCCUGGGCUCAGAGGAUCCUCCUGCCUCAGCCGCCGGAGUACCUGGGACUACAGGCAUGCGCCACCACAUGCAGCUAAUUUUUGUAUUUUCUUCGAGACAGGGUCUCGCCAUGUUGCCCAAGCUGGUCUUGAACUCUUGGGUUCAAGCAAUCCCCUCACCUCAGCCUCCCAAAGUGCUGGGAUUACAGACAUGAGCCACAUUGCCCAGCCAGAAAGAUAUUCUUCAUAUUAUUCUAAUCUUAAAAAUCUUCUCACUUAUUUCAAAAGAUCAUCUGUCUAUAUCCCAUCUGAGAAAGGGCUGCCUGUCUGAAUAGAGUAGACAGAGAUCUAAAGGGAGGGCCCCCUGUGAAUGUAGAGAGAAGGGACCCAGAAAAGC
rnacentral:antisense_RNA from 1 species